rnacentral:misc_RNA from 1 species
GAUGAAGAACGUAGCGAAAUGCGAUAAGUAAUGUGAAUUGCAGAAUUCAGUGAAUCAUCGAGUCUUUGAACGCACAUUGCGCCCCCUGGUAUUCCGGGGGGCAUGCCUGUCCGAGCGUCAUUGCUGCCCUCAAGCACGGCUUGUGUGUUGGGCCCCCGCCCCCCGGCUUCGGGGGGCGGGCCCGAAAGGCAGCGGCGGCACCGCGUCCGGUCCUCGAGCGUAUGGGGCUUCGUCACCCGCUCUGUAGGCCCGGCCGGCGCCCGCCGGCGACCCCAAUCAAUCUUUCCAGGUUGACCUCGGAUCAGGUAGGGAUACCCGCUGAACUUAAGCAUAUCAAUAGCGGAGGA